GACAGAGGGUGCAAACGUUGUUCGGAAUGACUGGGCGUAAAGCGCGUGUAGGCGGCUCGGCAAGUCGGAUGUGAAAGCCCUGGGCUCAACCCAGGAAGUGCACUCGAAGCUGCCGAGCUGGAGUCCCGGAGAGGAAGGCGGAAUUCUCGGUGUAGAGGUGAAAUUCGUAGAUAUCGACAGGAACACCGGUGGCGAAGGCGGCCUUCUGGACGGCGACUGACGCUGAGACGCGAAAGCGUGGGGAGCAAACAGG
rnacentral:rRNA from 1 species